ensembl:snRNA LOC120094965 U4 spliceosomal RNA
AGCUUUGCGCAGUGGCAGUAUCGUAGCCAAUGAGGUUUAUCCGAGGCGCGAUUAUUGCUAAUUGAAACAACAGAAAAUCUAGAGCAUUGUAGAGUUUUUGAACUAUAAGACAGGAGAAAAGAAUAUAUGUAAAGUUAU